rnacentral:rRNA from 1 species
UUGGAGGGCAAGUCUGGUGCCAGCAGCCGCGGUAAUUCCAGCUCCAAUAGCGUAUAUUAAAGUUGUUGCAGUUAAAAAGCUCGUAGUUGAAUUUCGGGAUUGACACAUCGGUCGUGCCUUAAGGGGUAUGAACUGGUGUAGUCAGUUUCUCACCUUCUGGAGAACCGCGAUGUCCUUAAUUGGGUGCCGCGAGGAACCAGGACCUUUACUUUGAAAAAAUUAGAGUGUUUAAAGCAGGCAUUUUGCUUGAAUACAUUAGCAUGGAAUAAUAAAAUAGGACGGAUGGUUCUAUUUUGUUGGUUUCUAGGAUCACCGUAAUGAUUAAUAGGGAUAGUUGGGGGCAUUAGUAUUCAAUUGUCAGAGGUGAAAUUCUUGGAUUUAUUGAAGACUAACUACUGCGAAAGCAUUUGCCAAGGAUGUUUUCAUUAAUCAAGAACGAAAGUUAGGGGAUCGAAGACGAUCAGAUACCGUCGUAGUCUUAACCAUAAACUAUGCCGACUAGGAAUCAGACGAUGUUAAUUUUUUAAUGACUCGUUCGGCGCCUUACGGGAAAC